rnacentral:lncRNA from 1 species
UUGUAAUGUUAGCAGGUGUGGACCUUGAGGAGAUUUUCUCUCCCUGGCUGCCCAAUUAUCAUUUUUAGAGAGGCAAUGCGAUAAUUGCUGAACGAUGUCACCUGACAUUCCUAGCGGGUGGGAGAGAGCCCUCUCCUGCCCCGCUCAUUGCCUAACUACCUGUAACAGGUGUGUGGGUGAGUGCUCCCUGUGAUGGAACGGUGUCCUGUUCAGGACUGGGUGCCACCUGGCACCUUGAGCUGCCAGGACCGGCUCGGGCUGCUCGCGAUCCCAAACUAGAACAAAUGGAAAUGUUCAGUUGUCUAGCUCACAGGGAUAUCCACAAGCCAGACCCAGAAAGCCUUUGCUACCAUUGAUGAAGAUGCCAAGUCCACAGCCCAACAGCCAGAAGACCCUUGGUCUAGCCCUUGGAUUCAGACUGAAUUGAUAUCGCCAGGUUUCCUGUCUUUUCAGCUUGCAGGCAGCUGAUUGUGGGACUUCUCAGCCUCCUUAAUCAUUGGCCUUGUGAGAAGAGAGAGCAACACCAGCAAUGCACAUGCAAAGAGGAAAGGCCCUGCAAGGAUGCUAAGAACGAGGACGGCCAUCCGCCCACCAAGGAGAGAAGUAUCAGGAGGAACAAACCGGCCAACACCUUGAUCUUGGACUUCCAGCCUCCAGAACUGUCCGCAGCUUGGGCUACCUUCCAGCAUAAAGUCACUAAAGAUGUGCCGGGCAUGAUGAAGGAAGAAAGCGACUACAUGCUGAAGGAGAUGGUGCGGGGACUCGCUAGUACCUAUUGGCAGGACCUGGGGAACUUUGGUGGGUGCUUGAUAAUGGGGACUGGAAUAAAAACUGGCUAAGCAAAAA